UACGUAGGGGGCGAGCGUUGUGCGGAAUCAUUGGGCGUAAAGCGCGUGUAGGCGGCUCGGUAAGUCUGCUGUGAAAGUCCAGGGCUCAACCCUGGGAUGCCGGUGGAUACUGUCGAGCUCGAGUCCGGAAGAGGCGAGUGGAAUUCCUGGUGUAGCGGUGAAAUGCGCAGAUAUCAGGAGGAACACCAAUGGCGAAGGCAGCUCGCUGGGGCGUGACUGACGCUGAGACGCGAAAGCGUGGGGAGCAAACAGG
rnacentral:rRNA from 1 species